CUGGUGGUAGUAGUAAUCCUGACCCUCAUAGCCGUCGUAGCCUCGCCCUUUGUAGUAGCCGUACUCGUCCUCGUAGGCUCGUGAAUGAAGAGACAUCAUAAAUAUAUAAAUACAGCGUUGGGAUAACCUCAGACUUCAGUAAAGAAGGGAAAACAAAUUCGACCUGCCAUAGAGUGGGCAUGGCCAUAGCUGCGUUUUGGAGGAAUAAUCUCAUCAUUACCUUCUUGAGCAGCUGGAUCGCUGCGAACCCUGUUCCUGGGGUGACGUCCCCAUAGUCGGGGGUCACAGCGGAAAGCGUGGUGUUGUCGGCCUCAGACUCUUCCUCCUCGUUCUCAUCUGAGUUUUCGUUGUUUCCUUCUUCGUUCGAAGCCUCCUGGUGAAAAUCAGAUUCAGCCUUCCAGGGAUAGAAGAAAAGAAAUGAAUUUUAGCAUCUUUGGGAAGAUCCUCAGAGAAGGAAAAUAUACUAGUUGGAUCCUAUACCUUCA